CAUUCUCCUACCUGACCUAAAACAGAAGCAUCUUGAUCAACAAGCAGCUGGAUUUAACAUUAGCUGGGUUCGUGCAACCAACUUAUGAUGUCGACGAUCUCUUUGAUGCGGCGUUAAGGUUGUCGACGUCGUCGAGAGAAUAUCGUCGCGGAUGCCGGUGGCUUUAGUGCUCUUUUAUGACGUCACGUCAACGACGUCGAUCUUCCCCUUCCCCUUCACUUUCCCCUUCCUCCACCAGGCACCAGCCCUGCGCGUCAGCCAUGGCUGCGCCCCGGCGUUCCGCUCCUAUCUACGUGCUGAACGGCACCGUGGAGCAACUUACCGGCGAUCCAGGUCAAGGGUGAACUAGGAUCGAGUGCGCGAGCAAGAAGGCUUACGGAUGCGGAAACCACGGCCAGGAGGCGGUGGAAGGGCUCACGCUCUACAUGCGCCUCGGCGACGCCCCGCUCCUCACCUCCUCCCUGGCCGUCCGCGCGCGUGAGCGACGAGGCGCUUCGAGCACUCAACUCGUCGGUGCGUCAUGAGCUUGGCGACCGCCGCAAGAUGUAUGCCGUGGGCCGCAUCGUGCUGGCCGAGCAGGGCCUCUUCGUCGUCGUGGUCAUCUUCCACCUCGAGUGCGGCCGCGACCUCGCCUACUUCCUCGUCUACGACGACGUCGACGCGUCGCUCUCCAUGAUGAACUACCUGACAGAUCUCUACGAAGCCUCCAAUGCGUACAAGUCCGUCCCCAACGCGCCGGCGGCGGCGGCGCCUGCGAGCUGCUCUUCAUGGCUCAAAAGUCGCCUCCUGGGCCGAUGCUCCAGUUCGUCGGCCUGCCGCCCGUUCUCUGCGUGUUCUCUCCGGCAGCGGGGGCGGCGGAUGACACGGCGUGCCCGUGGCGGGUAAAGGGGAGGUGCUUCCCGCGCGGGAGGUCCGCGAUCCAUUCAUCGCGGACGCGGCCUUCCCUCUCCAUGGCAAGGGUUUCUGGGGCGAUGUCACGCAAGGCCUCGUGCACUUCGACCUGCGCGCCGCCACCAGCGACGGCGACCCCGCCGCCGUGGACUUCGGCUUCAUCGAGCUGCCGCGCGAGUGCCAGCUUGACCUGGGGCAGAUGCUGAAGGUGAGGGACGAGCGGACGACGCUGACCCGGACCAUGGCCCGCGUCGGGGAGUCCAUCUGGUUCGUCUGCAUCGAUCAAGCCGAGCAAGUCGCCGACGACGUGCUGACGAUGUGGACCCUGGAAUUGCCUGGGGAGCGGUGGAAGAAAGAGUGGGAGGUUUCUGCCAGAGAGCUCUGGGGGUUCGACGGCUUCAGGGAGGCGGGGUUGCCGGACGAGGCGCCGGAGUACCCUACUACCCUGUCCUCACGGCGGACGGCGCCCUCUUCGUCGUGAUGAUUGCCUAUCGCGGACGACGAUCCCGUGGAGAUCCUUUGGUGGGUCACGUCUGCAGCGUCGACGUGCUUAACAAGAGGCUCCUAUGCCACGGGCUUGUUCACGACUACCCUUUCUGUGAUCCAGUUAUCUUCCCUUCCGAUUUCUUCCGAAGGGAGCAUGGUUCAGGCAGGACGAAGCUCGAGGAACACCUUCCUCCUGCAGCAGGGCCGGCUUCACUGGCAGGGAGUAAGCAAGGGAUCGAUUAUGAGUCAGGGAGCAUGCUGAUGAAAGGCAACAAGACAGCAGGAGCCCGUCGUCUCCGCUGGAUCCGGACCUUCUGUUGCCUAGAUUUUCUUCCUAGUUGGGUUGACGUGCCAAAGUAGAAUGAGUGUGUUUGCUUAUACAUUAGCUCUAUGUGUUGGUUUAAAAGUGUACCCACUGGUACUUUGUUGGUACUUUUGUCUGUGAUUUUUGUCCACUAUCUGACUGAAAAAAUAAUUAAAAAAAAAUUAAAUUUAAGGGUUAUUUUUUUA